UUCACUCACUCACAGAGUUCGAAUACCAAAUUUGUUCUGUUUCUAAAUAAAUGGCGAAUGACGUGUUAGCUCGUGCCACCAGGUAUUUCUUGUUCCAUGGCACGUUCUGAUAGUGUCACAUUGUUUGCCAUAUAUGGAUUUAUAACAUUUGCUACUCGCUAUUUCUGAAUUACUUGCAUUAACUUUUUUUAUUUUUUUUAACUUGAUCGUUGGUUAUAUUAUCUCUUCGUGAUGAUAUCAUUAUUUUCAGCAGCUGAAUUAUGUUGAGGAUUCCUUACAAAAAUACUUUAGAAAAAUAAUGAUUUGUACAUAGUUUUAUAGGGAUGACAAAAAAAUUCGGGCUGUCUUAACCUAUUCUCAUAGGCUUUGGUCCGAGCCUCCCACAUGAGGUUUUGGAUAAGGGCUUAGGAGAAAAAUCUUCGAUCAGACUUAAACCCUUUAUUUUUUUUUUUAAAAUGAAUUUAUAAAUUAGAACAAUAAAUUAAAAUUUAAAAAAUAAUAAAUAAAAAGAAAGUUUAGAUCCCUAAUUCAUAUAUCAAUAAUGAAUCAAAAAACUUAAAAUUAUAAUAUCAAAUUUUAUUUUAAAUUAGUGUCACAUUGUUUGCCAUAUAUGGAUUUAUAACAUUUGCUACUCGCUAUUUCUGAAUUACUUGCAUUAACUUUUUUUAUUUUUUUUAACUUGAUCGUUGGUUAUAUUAUCUCUUCGUGAUGAUAUCAUUAUUUUCAGCAGCUGAAUUAUGUUGAGGAUUCCUUACAAAAAUACUUUAGAAAAAUAAUGAUUUGUACAUAGUUUUAUAGGGAUGACAAAAAAAUUCGGGCUGUCUUAACCUAUUCUCAUAGGCUUUGGUCCGAGCCUCCCACAUGAGGUUUUGGAUAAGGGCUUAGGAGAAAAAUCUUCGAUCAGACUUAAACCCUUUAUUUUUUUUUUUAAAAUGAAUUUAUAAAUUAGAACAAUAAAUUAAAAUUUAAAAAAUAAUAAAUAAAAAGAAAGUUUAGAUCCCUAAUUCAUA
rnacentral:lncRNA from 1 species